rnacentral:rRNA from 1 species
GACGAACGCUCGUGGCGUGCUUAACACAUGCAAGUCGAACGGAAAGGCCCUGCUUUUGUGGGGUGCUCGAGUGGCGAACGGGUGAGUAACACGUGAGUAACCUGCCCUUGACUUUGGGAUAACUUCAGGAAACUGGGGCUAAUACCGGAUAGGAGCUCCUGCUGCAUGGUGGGGGUUGGAAAGUUUCGGCGGUUGGGGAUGGACUCGCGGCUUAUCAGCUUGUUGGUGGGGUAGUGGCUUACCAAGGCUUUGACGGGUAGCCGGCCUGAGAGGGUGACCGGCCACAUUGGGACUGAGAUACGGCCCAGACUCCUACGGGAGGCAGCAGUGGGGAAUAUUGCACAAUGGGCGGAAGCCUGAUGCAGCAACGCCGCGUGCGGGAUGACGGCCUUCGGGUUGUAAACCGCUUUCGCCUGUGACGAAGCGUGAGUGACGGUAAUGGGUAAAGAAGCACCGGCUAACUACGUGCCAGCAGCCGCGGUGAUACGUAGGGUGCGAGCGUUGUCCGGAUUUAUGGGCGUAAGGGCUCGUAGGUGGUUGAUCGCGUCGGAAGUGUAAUCUUGGGGCUUAACCCUGAGCGUGCUUUCGAUACGGGUUGACUUGAGGAAGGUAGGGGAGAAUGGAAUUCCUGGUGGAGCGGUGGAAUGCGCAGAUAUCAGGAGGAACACCAGUGGCGAAGGCGGUUCUCUGGGCCUUUCCUGACGCUGAGGAGCGAAAGCGUGGGGAGCGAACAGGCUUAGAUACCCUGGUAGUCCACGCUGUAAACGGUGGGUACUAGGUGUGGGGUCCAUUCCACGGGUUCCGUGCCGUAGCUAACGCUUUAAGUACCCCGCCUGGGGAGUACGGCCGCAAGGCUAAAACUCAAAGGAAUUGACGGGGCCCCGCACAAGCGGCGGAGCAUGCGGAUUAAUUCGAUGCAACGCGUAGAACCUUACCUGGGUUUGACAUGGAUCGGGAGUGCUCAGAGAUGGGUGUGCCUCUUUUGGGGUCGGUUCACAGGUGGUGCAUGGCUGUCGUCAGCUCGUGUCGUGAGAUGUUGGGUUAAGUCCCGCAACGAGCGCAACCCUUGUUCACUGUUGCCAGCACGUUAUGGUGGGGACUCAGUGGAGACCGCCGGGGUCAACUCGGAGGAAGGUGGGGAUGACGUCAAGUCAUCAUGCCCCUUAUGUCCAGGGCUUCACGCAUGCUACAAUGGCUGGUACAGAGAGUGGCGAGCCUGUGAGGGUGAGCGAAUCUCGGAAAGCCGGUCUCAGUUCGGAUUGGGGUCUGCAACUCGACCUCAUGAAGUCGGAGUCGCUAGUAAUCGCAGAUCAGCAACGCUGCGGUGAAUACGUUCCCGGGGCU